rnacentral:rRNA from 1 species
AUACGUAGGGAGCAAGCGUUGUCCGGAUUUAUUGGGCGUAAAGAGCUCGUAGGCGGUUCCGUAAGUCGAGUGUGAAAAAUCUGGGCUCAACCCAGUGGAGCACUCGAUACUGCGGUGACUAGAGUCCGGUAGGGGAGUGUGGAAUUCCUGGUGUAGCGGUGAAAUGCGCAGAUAUCAGGAGGAACACCGACGGCGAAGGCAGCACUCUGGGCCGGUACUGACGCUGAGGAGCGAAAGCGUGGGGAGCAAACAGGAUUAGAUACCCUGGUAGUCCACGCCGUAAACGUUGGGCACUAGGUGUGGGAGGGAGUCAACCCCUUCCGUGCCGUAGCUAACGCAUUAAGUGCCCCGCCUGGGGAGUACGGCCGCAAGGCUAAA